ensembl:lncRNA
AGAAGACAGCGCGCUAGCGGAUCUAGUCUGCUAUGUGUAUCUAUGGCCAGCACGUCUGGUAGCAUCUCUGGCUGCUGUUGACCUGGUUUUUUGAGUAAAACACGGUGGAAGCUGAAUUAGUGAGGAUGACUCCUGCUCCUGUCAUCUCUAAGCUCCUCCCACAUCUUUACCUGCACAUGAGGAAAAUCACUCCUGUAGAAUGCAGAUGUUCAGAGGGAGAUGAUGCCACAUCUGGUCCAGCUGAUGGAAGGUCUUGAAGUUCUCUGACUGGCCUCGACUGAAGAUGGUCGUCUCACUGGAUUUAAGGUUCAGAUGCUCAGUAACAAACUCCACCAAUGAGCCAACAGGGAAGCUUUAGGUUUAUUAAAUGUUGCUAUGAAGGUAUCACUGUUUUUCUUUGUGAAUGCAAUGUGCUCCAACUGAAAGUUGAAUUAGAACUUAGAAGUAAAUCCUUCCAUCUGAAAUGAUUUAGUUGCAUUAAUAACCUCAUAACAUUCUAAUUUUUAUUCCAGUCUUGGUUGGAAAUAGAAUCUCUGUAUUGAUUCAGGUAAAAACUGAACUUCACAGCAUGUUGGAGCAAAACAACCAGAUGAAAACUGUGAUGGUGUUGGAUUGUCAGACCAUAAUGUUGCAGCUCAAAGCAGCUUUUCUAGCUCAGUUCAUUCUGACAUUCAGCUAUGAAUCAACACAGCAGAUGGUGAUCCAUGCUGUGGAAGUCUCACAUCUCCUGAUUUAAUGGAGCUGCUUUACACUUUUUACACUGUUUAUUCACCAACUCUUUAUUUAAUAAAAGUCCCAUCUAGUUUUUAUGAGGAAUGUGAUGCUUUAAUUUCUCUGUGAAUAACUGCAGUCUAAUGGAACAGCUGGAGUUGUAACAUCUGUCCUGAUAUUGAUCAUGAAGUAUUGAUCAGAAUACUUAUGGUCAGCAGUCAUCCCUGAAGUUUUACAUUCAAAUCUUUACUUGUGUUGUGAACUUUGGUAAGAAGCAGAAACUUUAGCGUUGCCAUGGAUACAUGAGUGUUAAAUUCUGUCCAUGUUUCCAUUUUGGGAAAUUCAGUCCAGCAGAUGAGUUUGUUUUUACUGCCAGCUACAUUCAGUCUGAGAUAUUAAGAAUAAAUAAAUGUGCAUAAUGUGGAAAUGAACAGAUUAUGUUUUUAUUUAUUCCUACAGCUGGUGCUGGUAAAGUUCCAGAAUGUGGAGGAAUUUAGUCUCACAAUCACAGACAAUAAAUAUUAUCUGAAAGUUGGGUUAUUGUUGUUUAUCAGCACAAUACAAAAAGAUUCAUGUUAGACAUAUUCCAGUUAAGACUCUAGAAUAUCAUGAUUUAUGUAAAUUUACCUCAAUAAUAUGAAUGUUCAGGUUAAGAUUGUGCAGUGAUAUUUAUUAUGUAAGUUUAGCUGAUUAAAGUUUAUGACUCUGCACUACAAUAUUAUUUAUUAUUUAAAUUUACAUCAUUAUUAUAAUAUUUAGGUCAGACUACAGUAUUGAGAUUAAGAAAUCGUUCUAUAAAUAUUCUAUAAAAUGUAAAUACAC